CUCAUUAAAUCAGUUAUCGUUUAUUUGAUAGUACCUUACUACUUGGAUAACCGUGGUAAUUCUAGAGCUAAUACAUGCUAAAAACCCCGACUUCGGAAGGGGUGUAUUUAUUAGAUAAAAAACCAAUGCCCUUCGGGGCUCCUUGGUGAUUCAUGAUAACUUAACGAAUCGCAUGGCCUUGCGCCGGCGAUGGUUCAUUCAAAUUUCUGCCCUAUCAACUUUCGAUGGUAGGAUAGUGGCCUACCAUGGUAUCAACGGGUAACGGGGAAUUAGGGUUCUAUUCCGGAGAGGGAGCCUGAGAAACGGCUACCACAUCCAAGGAAGGCAGCAGGCGCGCAAAUUACCCAAUCCCGACACGGGGAGGUAGUGACAAUAAAUACUGAUACAGGGCUCUUUUGGGUCUUGUAAUUGGAAUGAGUACAAUUUAAAUACCUUAACGAGGAACAAUUGGAGGGCAAGUCUGGUGCCAGCAGCCGCGGUAAUUCCAGCUCCAAUAGCGUAUAUUAAAGUUGUUGCAGUUAAAAAGCUCGUAGUUGAACCUUGGGCCUGGCUGGCCGGUCCGCCUCACCGCGUGUACUGGUCCGGCCGGGCCUUUCCUUCUGGGGAUCCCCAUGCCCUUCACUGGGUGUGGCGGGGAACCAGGACUUUUACUUUGAAAAAAUUAGAGUGUUCAAAGCAGGCCUUUGCUCGAAUACAUUAGCAUGGAAUAAUAGAAUAGGACGUGCGGUCCUAUUUUGUUGGUUUCUAGGACCGCCGUAAUGAUUAAUAGGGAUAGUCGGGGGCAUCAGUAUUCAAUUGUCAGAGGUGAAAUUCUUGGAUUUAUUGAAGACUAACUACUGCGAAAGCAUUUGCCAAGGAUGUUUUCAUUAAUCAGUGAACGAAAGUUAGGGGAUCGAAGACGAUCAGAUACCGUCGUAGUCUUAACCGUAAACUAUGCCGACUAGGGAUCGGGCGAUGUUAUUAUUUUGACUCGCUCGGCACCUUACGAGAAAUCAAAGUCU
rnacentral:rRNA from 1 species